AGAAUUGUUUUAGAGCUGUCCACGCCCUCCUCGUCUAGAGAAACCGCAAGAAUGCUAUUGAAUAUGCUGUUAUUAAGUUUACGAAGAAAUGUCAUGUCUACACAAAAGGCCGAAGAGCGGACAAUAAACAACUAUAUAUAAAGUAAUGAAUGUCUGUUUUCUGAUAAACCUCCGCACAUCGACUCAACAGAAUAUUGGGGUAGACAGAGGUUUAACGGACAGACAGCAGCUGUUUUGUAGUAUGUAAUAUGGGGCGAUCCUUAUGUCGCUUACUGAGCACAAUGCCAGACUCCCGACUAAUAUUGAACAGAAAACCCAACAUCACUUUGCCCAACCUGGGCUUCAAACCCCACCACCUCAAAGCGGUGUAAUACCGUGUAAUAUACACAGAGACGGUCUUGAGGUAUUAGUCUCACGAUCCAAACCCUUAUUAAAGCAGACGAAGUAAACAAUACUAAUGCGCAGUUAGCAAGGAUAACGACGCUUCAAAAAAUAUUAAGAUGAGGGAUUAAGUAACGCAAAUAAAACAGGCGGAGCCACC